AGCUGCGGCAGCGACACUGUGUGUUGUUGGGUAGGGGAGCGUUCUGUAAGCCUGCGAAGGUGGCCUGUGAGGGUUGCUGGAGGUAUCAGAAGUGCGAAUGCUGACAUAAGUAACGAUAAAGCGGGUGAAAAGCCCGCUCGCCGGAAGACCAAGGGUUCCUGUCCAACGUUAAUCGGGGCAGGGUGAGUCGACCCCUAAGGCGAGGCCGAAAGGCGUAGUCGAUGGGAAACGGGUUAAUAUUCCCGUACUUGGUGUUACUGCGAAGGGGGGACGGAGAAGGCUAUGUUGGCCGGGCGACGGUUGUCCCGGUUUAAGCGUGUAGGUGUGUGUUCCAGGUAAAUCCGGUUCACUUUAACACUGAGGCGUGACGACGAGGCACUACGGUGCUGAAGCAACAAAUGCCCUGCUUCCAGGAAAAGCCUCUAAGCAUCAGGUAACAUCAAAUCGUACCCCAAACCGACACAGGUGGUCAGGUAGAGAAUACCAAGGCGCUUGAGAGAACUCGGGUGAAGGAACUAGGCAAAAUGGUGCCGUAACUUCGGGAGAAGGCACGCUGACACGUAGGUGAAGUGAUUUACUCAUGGAGCUGAAGUCAGUCGAAGAUACCAGCUGGCUGCAACUGUUUAUUAAAAACACAGCACUGUGCAAACACGAAAGUGGACGUAUACGGUGUGACGCCUGCCCGGUGCCGGAAGGUUAAUUGAUGGGGUCAGCGCAAGCGAAGCUCCUGAUCGAAGCCCCGGUAAACGGCGGCCGUAACUAUAACGGUCCUAAGGUAGCGAAAUUCCUUGUCGGGUAAGUUCCGACCUGCACGAAUGGCGUAAUGAUGGCCAGGCUGUCUCCACCCGAGACUCAGUGAAAUUGAACUCGCUGUGAAGAUGCAGUGUACCCGCGGCAAGACGGAAAGACCCCGUGAACCUUUACUAUAGCUUGACACUGAACAUUGAGCCUUGAUGUGUAGGAUAGGUGGGAGGCUUUGAAGUGUGGACGCCAGUCUGCAUGGAGCCGACCUUGAAAUACCACCCUUUAAUGUUUGAUGUUCUAACGUGGACCCGUUACCCGGGUUGCGGACAGUGUCUGGUGGGUAGUUUGACUGGGGCGGUCUCCUCCUAAAGAGUAACGGAGGAGCACGAAGGUUGGCUAAUCCUGGUCGGACAUCAGGAGGUUAGUGCAAUGGCAUAAGCCAGCUUGACUGCGAGCGUGACGGCGCGAGCAGGUGCGAAAGCAGGUCAUAGUGAUCCGGUGGUUCUGAAUGGAAGGGCCAUCGCUCAACGGAUAAAAGGUACUCCGGGGAUAACAGGCUGAUACCGCCCAAGAGUUCAUAUCGACGGCGGUGUUUGGCACCUCGAUGUCGGCUCAUCACAUCCUGGGGCUGAAGUAGGUCCCAAGGGUAUGGCUGUUCGCCAUUUAAAGUGGUACGCGAGCUGGGUUUAGAACGUCGUGAGACAGUUCGGUCCCUAUCUGCCGUGGGCGCUGGAGAACUGAGGGGGGCUGCUCCUAGUACGAGAGGACCGGAGUGGACGCAUCACUGGUGUUCGGGUUGUCAUGCCAAUGGCACUGCCCGGUAGCUAAAUGCGGAAGAGAUAAGUGCUGAAAGCAUCUAAGCACGAAACUUGCCCCGAG
rnacentral:rRNA from 1 species